GGAAUAUUGAUAUUGAUUGUGUUUUUUAAUUUUCAGAUAUGGAUCACAUUAACAACAGUCCUUCAUUUUUAAAGCUUAUUGAGGAAGAUGACCCAAUAUUUUUGGUAUGUUAUAUGUACGAGUAUGCCACAUGGUUCAAGUUCUCUUGAGUCCUCAGAGUUGUGAAUUAGUUCGCUUUUCAAGUACUUUGCUUCUGAAGAUUGCAAUAGAAGUUUAGGAUGCAAGUGCACAUGUUGUGAGCCCUGGUGUGACCACUGAUGAAAUU